AUGGGACAGAAAUUGAUUAAUCCCUACACCUCUACUUUAAAUGCUUUCAUCUUCUUCUCAUCAGGACUAAAAAGCAGAAGAUUAAACUAUAACCGGAAACUACAACCUUCAGCCUCCUCGCGGCUCCGCCUCCGGCUUCCCGGUUCACCGGCGGGGUUCCAUUCGUGUCCCGUUCAUUGUUCCGGUGUGAGUUCGGGUCUGCCCCGGAUCACUCUGACUGGUGGAACUGGAUCAGCCCCCUCCACCUCCACCCCCAGAGCUAGGGAGACGACAGUUUCAGUUCGGUCCACGUGCCUUACUUUGAAAAAUAACCCGGAAGUGAAACGCUCUCUUUUAUUUUGGAAAAAGGUUCUGCAGGAAGUGGACCGAGCCUGACCUGAGCAGAACUGAAUUCUGGAUUUUUCAGUUAGGAACUUAAGGACGUCCUCAGGUAGGUAAACAAGAACUGCAGACAGAAAACGAACAUCUCAGCUGUUAAAAAGUUAACAUGUUUGAGAGGAUAAACAGAAACUUCAGGUAAACAAACAAACACAACCAGGCAGGUAAACACCACAUGCAAACAAAGAAACCAAACUACACAAAUGUAAACAAUAACACAACACACAAACAAAAACCACAACUGUAAACGGUAAACAACAAGGAACAGCACUUAUGUCAGUUCAGCCUCUAAAGGGGCGGAGCCAAGCAUAGGAGCUUUGGUCCACAGAACCAGUUGAACCCAAACCACUUCCUGGUUUUCCUGCCAGAAGACUUUGGCAGCAGAAGCCGCUUUUCCGUCUGAGAUGACGGAGGUGGAUGUGACCGGGAACCUGGGGGGUAUUCCAGAAGGCCCUUUUAAAUCCCCUGACUUUAACCCUGAACUCUGGCUGAAAUCCUCCUGAACUUGCUUACUCUGGGUAUGUCGGUUCCAACAGUCCGGAUAUGAGUUAGUGUAAUUACGCUCCACUUGGUAACCCUGGGUUAAUGCACGUGCACAGCAGGUACAUACAGACAUUCUCAAUGGAUCACAGAUUUACGGAGUCACCAUGGUAACACGUAGAGAAAAAAAGAGAGAGCUAUACUUCAGUGAGACGGAGUCUGAGGUUUAAAUGACGGCGUAUGAAGAUUAUAUGUCUAUCAAUAAAGUAACACGGCUGCAUCAUCAGCAAAAGAACGAGUUUCUGCUUGGAGAAAAAGAACAAAGUAAACGCACAAGUUUCUGAUCUUAUUUCCAUUUACAUUAUGAUGUGUAUAUAUAUAACAUAUCCAACUUAAAUGAAUUAAUUCAAUUGGUAACAAGGAACUGAGUUAAAUUUAUUCAACCAAUUUUUUUACAUCUAUACAACUCAAAUGUACAUAUUUAUUUAACUAAAUGUCAUUUUACUCCAAUUCAAUUAAAUGUUUUUCCAUCUUAAUUUAUUGUACUUGUUGAACUCUGAUAUGUCUAAUUUUAAGGCUGCAGAUUUUUCUCAUUUUUAUAACGUGAAAAUGAGUGAUACAGUGUGGAUUUACAACAUGAAGCAUAGAUUCAUUGCAAUCAGUUUGACUGUAACUUCAGGUAUUUUAAAACUCUUCAGCACUAGUGCUCCUAAAUAACCUCGUCCUCCUCAUCCUCCUCUUCCUCCCUCUCACUCAUGGUGCAGAAAGAAUUAAACAACAGGACAACUAACUAGACAAAACACAGUAAAACAGAUAAACACAUUCUAUCAAAAACCCACACUUAAACCCAAAUCCGUCCAGACAGGCAAAGGGAAUGAUAUCCCACAAUCCCUUGCGGUGCCGCUCUAACAGCAGCAUCAAAGUUACACCUUCUUAACUGAAUUAAUUUGAAUGAAAGUAAAAUAACUGUCUGAUAACUACGUGUUAUUUUUAAACUGACUUAACAAAAAUGAUUUAUCUUAACUGAAUCAAAUAAUGAAGUUAGAUCAAAGUAUAAAGUUUAUCUUUCCAACAUCCAUAUAUGUGGUCUUAUCACCCUCUCAUGGUGGAAAAAGUAUUAUCUGAGCUUCUUCAUCCACUAAAUCAUCUUCAAAUGGACACGCCAUGCUGCUUCACCUCUCUGUAAACAAACUAACCUUCAACUAAACCUGCUCCAGACCAGGUUAUGUUCAGAGCAUGAGUUGCUAUGGUAACUUGACCUACCCUGAAACAUACCUCCAUUUCUGGAACCCAAAGCUGAGGUUAUCAACUUCCUUAGCCUGAAACUUAUCGUGGGAGCUAGCAUAACCUGCUUCCUGGAAUACCCCCCUGAAGUGUGAUGGAAGAAUCAGACUUUCAGAGGCUGCUCCUGAACCAUGACAUCACAUCUACCAUUUCAAACCGCAGACCCAAACGGGUCAAGAAAAGGUUUUAAUGCCAGUGUGGGUUAAAGUCUUAGAGACUGAGUCAAGUAGGACAACCCAAACAAAAGCACACAGGAUUAAGCCUGUUCCUUAUUUGGAGAUGUCCAAGAGUUCAGUGUACCAGCAGCUGCACAGGGAGCCUGGAACCAGAAGACAACACAUUCCAGCUCCAACCCGAGGAUAAUCCAGUAUAUCAUGAUAAUCCAGGUUCCUCUUACGCUGAAACUUCUCAGAAACAAAGACAGACAUCCGUCCUGAAACGACGAGGAGUCCAAUCAGGAGGCAGACAGGUCCAACAUCCGUGAUCCAAAGGCCAGAAAGGCAGAAAAGGCAGAUCAAGGGGACAGGAAAAGGGUCAAAACAGCAGGAGCGAUGAAACUGUGACCCGCUGGACCACAGGACCACCAACCAGCAGAGGAACUGUCCCUGGAUCUGAGGCUCACAGGUGGAUGAAUGACCUCCUUCAGGUGGAGACUUGGAGAAUGGAGAGCAGGCCAAGCAAAUCGUCACACACUGAUUCCUAUUUUUUCAUUUUCUGUUGGUUUAGACGUGCGUGACCUUUGUGUGACCUUUGACAAGCAUUGGAUGGAUCACAGCAGUGUUUGACGGGUCCUGCAGGCCACUGCGGGUCCCUGAGCACAGCAGGACCCCAGUGAUGCUGGGGGCAGCUCAGGUCAGUAAGUCUGUGUCCUGGGCCAGGGGGCUUGUCUUUGUCUGUAACGCUGGUCCUGGUUGACCUCCACAGAAAUGUCCUACUGGUCGGUCGGAGUUCUCCAGAAUCCGGGAGUGAUGGACAUGGAGGACAGUGAUGGUGAGAGAUCUUCCUGCAUCUUCAGGCUUGUGUCCAUCCUGUUAGAACAGAGGCGGGUUGGUGGCGCAGCUAUGUUUGGAAAACAGAAGUGAGAGGAAGGUUUGUGCCCCCCAGUGCUUUUAGUUUCCAUGAAGCUCCUGUCAGGCAGAACCACGACAGUCGUGACUUCUGCUUUCACUCCUGAUGCAAACCCAGAUGUGUGCAGUUCUUCUUUGGACCACUGGGGGCAAAGUGUCCACUAAAAGUAAAGAAGUGAUGAAAAUGUAAAUUUAAGGGGGGGUCAGAGUCUGCUCAUGUAGAAGGACCCUCAAAGGUCUUCAGCAGCACAACUGAAGUUUGGAGAUGGAACCAGCACCUUGAACUGAUGCUUCCAUAGGGCUUCCACAGCCGAAGGCUCUGCCCCCCCCC
rnacentral:lncRNA from 1 species